GAUCCAUAGGGGUGUCCUCGUUACACGUGAACCCUUUAUUUUAACCACCUUAAUUCUAAGGCCGUCCUCAUACCUCAUCCAGUAUGAGCGCUAAGAUAUUAAACCUCAAUACCCCGUCCAGUAUGAGGGUGAAGCAGGUCGUCCCCAUACCCCAUCCAGUAUGAGCGCCAAAUGACCAAGUCUCAAUACCUUGUCCGGUAUAAGACAACGUUCACGGUAGGGUUCCCUAUGAACCCGGUCUGUCCUCUAUCUCGUAGGAUAUUUAGUGAGGCUAUCAUCUUAUCCAUUUAUCAGAUCAUAUCCCGUUCCUAUUUGUCCUUAGUCUCCGUCACUAAAUCAAACAUAAAUACAUAAACAAGUAACAUGCAUCCAACAAUGCAAUCAUAUCUUAAAUUCCCAAAAUCAAACGGCAGUGAAGUAAGCAGUGAUACAUACGUUUAAAACCAUAGAAUAGAUAAAGCAGAUACCAUAAUGCAUCUAAACUAAAAAAUAAAUCAAACAGAAAUCGACAAAGAAUAAUGUCUGGUUCGGGCUUCAUUAGCAAUCCAUAAUUAAUUAUGCAUAUCUAUUUAAUUUGUACAAAAUACAGUAUUAUCAUUUAUUCAAACUUCAAUUAUAUGAUAGGAAAUAGGGUGAGGGAUC
rnacentral:lncRNA from 1 species